UACGUAGGGUGCAAGCGUUAAUCGGAAUUACUGGGCGUAAAGCGUGCGCAGGCGGUUUUGUAAGACAGGUGUGAAAUCCCCGGGCUUAACCUGGGAACUGCAUUUGUGACUGCAAGGCUGGAGUGCGGCAGAGGGGGGUGGAAUUCCACGUGUAGCAGUGAAAUGCGUAGAGAUGUGGAGGAACACCGGUGGCGAAGGCGGCCCACUGGGCAGUCACUGACGCUGAGGCGCGAAAGCUCGGGGAGCGAACGGG
rnacentral:rRNA from 1 species